UGGGGAAUAUUGCACAAUGGGCGAAAGCCUGAUGCAGCAACGCCGCGUGAGUGAUGAAGGUCUUCGGAUUGUAAAGCUCUGUCUUUUGGGACGAUAAUGACGGUACCAAAGGAGGAAGCCACGGCUAACUACGUGCCAGCAGCCGCGGUAAUACGUAGGUGGCGAGCGUUGUCCGGAUUUACUGGGCGUAAAGGGUGCGUAGGCGGAUGUUUAAGUGAGAUGUGAAAUACCCGGGCUUAACUUGGGUGCUGCAUUUCAAACUGGAUAUCUAGAGUGCAGGAGAGGAGAAUGGAAUUCCUAGUGUAGCGGUGAAAUGCGUAGAGAUUAGGAAGAACACCAGUGGCGAAGGCGAUUCUCUGGACUGUAACUGACGCUGAGGCACGAAAGCGUGGGUAGCAAACAGGAUUAGAUACCCUGGUAGUCCACGCCGUAAACGAUGAGUACUAGGUGUAGGAGGUAUCGACCCCUUCUGUGCCGCAGUAAACACAUUAAGUACUCCGCCUGGGAAGUACCGAUCGCAAGAUUAAAACUCUAAAGUGAAUUG
rnacentral:rRNA from 1 species